UUCUGGUAUCAGAAUCUGUUCUUGGUUGUGUCAUGUCAAAACUUCUGUUGGAGAAUGACUUUGAAGCCAGUUUUAGAGAUAUGAUCAGAAGGGGAAAGGUUUCCUUUUGGACGUGUAUUCAUAAUUCAAGUACAUACUGGAAAAUGGAGCUUUCUUUCUGCGGACCUUUUGACGAACUCUCGGAAAUACUCGAACCAGCCUCUCUUUUCUCCUUCCGUCCAUGGCUUCUGGGAGCUGACUAGUCAGAAGUCCAGGGCUGCCUCAAUGUGGCGCAUUGUAUGCUGUACAGCAAUAGGUGGAGCUAGUCACUGAUCGGCCAUCUUACAGUCUCACAUGUAUAUGGUCUGCUACAUAACAGCCAUCAAUUAAUCGCUCUAGUUAUCUUCCGUAGCUUUUUGCCUAAUAGUCUUCAUCUUAGUCUCUUA